GCGAUCCCAGGUCAGGCGGGGCUACCCGCUGAGUUUAAGCAUAUCAAUAAGCGGAGGAAAAGAAACUAACCAGGAUUCCCUUAGUAGCGGCGAGCGAAUCGGGAGGAGCCCAGCAUGAAAAUCGUUCGCCGCCGGCGGUCGAAUUGUAGUCUGGAGAAGCGUCCUCAGUGACGGACCGGACCCAAGUUCGCUGGAAGGCGGCGCCGGAGAGGGUGAGAGCCCCGUCGUGCCCGGACCC
rnacentral:rRNA from 1 species